GGGGGAGGGGUCUGGACGAGGUGCGGGGGAGGCCAGCGACAGGCUGCCCCGAGGGUGGGUGACCGGGGAAGGGGAGGGGAGGUUGAGCGCUUGAGGGUGCCUGAGGAGGAUGGGAAAGGAGGCCCUCUUUGGGGGAGCGACGGGGAAUAUUAUGAGGGAGAAGGGUCGGGUGGGAGCAGUGUUUGGGAAUUGGGACCGUAUGGAAAGGGGGAGAAGCUUUCCCAGAGAGAGGGGUAUCUGGCUCUGGCACGGAAAUGCCCGUGCUCUUUGGUGGCGUUGUUAUCUUGGAUGUGUCCAGGGAAGUCUUCUCUCCCUCCUUUCUUGGGUGGCAUCAGCCAUUCCAGCCCCCCUCAUCCUUUACUGCCAUUUUCUCAUAUCACUCCUUCAUAAAACCUGACAACAUCCUAAGCUCAUACCCAACAACCUUGGUUGGAAGGGAGAGGGGAGGCGGCUGCAAAGCCCUCUUCUCUUUUUGCUGCUGGAAGCCCCUUCCAGUUGUGGAGUCUCCGCCUUUUCCGAGGGCCUUUGCUAGUCUCUAGGGGGCUAUCGUCAUCCACUCCUGCCACCCCCUCACCUUUUGAGCGGCUGACUUUGAUAAGAACGACCUGAAAUUAAGUUGUAUUUGAGGUGAGAUGAGACUGGACAGCUGGUUUUGCACAAGACCUUGUCUUAGGUUACAUCUCCUUAGACGUUGGCCAGAGCCUUUUAUUGCACUUGAUCCCCAGUUCUCACCCCCUCCCUUCCUAUAAAAUGGCAUUCGGAAAUUCAGCAUUCUGAUAUUGUGUUAUAGCUCCCUUUAGAGACCGGCCUUGCUGCCAGUCCUAGCCUGCUGCUUAUUGGCUCUGAUGCAGUGUGUUGCUAAUAGCCCCAACCCCCUACCACUUUCUCUGAUACCGCUGUCGGUGAUUACUAAAGCACACGCUAACUGGAAGUGUCUGUUGCAGUUUAUGGCCGGAAUGUGACUUAAUUUUUCAUGAGUGGGAUUUGAGUGUGUGUGUGUAUGUAUGUAUGCGUGUAUUUCUUUUCGACAUUUAAUGGGUUUUUUUUUGAUAAGAAGUGAAACAUUAAGCAGGUUGGAUGCUUGGCAUUAUUGUUAACAGGUUUCUAAGUCAAGAAACCAGCCUUGCUCCAGGUGAUGGUUUCAGUAGCUAAGGAUAUAAAAUAAAAAUUGGCUUAAAAGACAGACAUUCAAAAUGAGGAUUUAGUAGUAAACUCUUGUUUGUAUGUAAGAAACAAAGGUAAAUUCAGUGGGAUAUCACCUGAAAAUAAAGAAUUUAGGUGUAUGUAUGUGUUCAUUGUGGACUGACCAGAAUAACGAAAAUAUGCUUUUUAUAUCUUUUUUUCCUACAGAACAAUGAAUGAUUGUUCUUAUGGACAAUUUUACUUGAACUUUUUUCUCAAUAUGAGAAAUAUUCCAAAUUCUUGAUGUGUUUCCAGCCCUAGUAGGCUGAUCAUUUCCGGGAUGCUGUUGAGCCUGACAGGUCUGGCCUCAAUUAGGCAAUGGCUUUACAUGGCAUGAAAGAGGACAUCAAUCAAAUUGAUUCACAGCUUCAUGGUUUAGAAGUAUUUUGUUUCUUAAGUUUGAGGGUGAUGUAGCUGGCAUUAAAGGAAUUCUAAAAUUUAACUUUUAUUCAACUGUACCCCACUUUCUCUCAUAUCAAACUAAGGUUUUAGUACUUUUGUAAAUAUAAAGGAAAUAAAUAGUUGGUGUGUUUUAAACUGAUUUGAUUGAAGGUCUUUGUUCAAUUUAUUAUGAAGUGUUUGCCUGUUGAAUUUAAAAUGUAUAUUUGAAGAGGUAGCAAAAUAUUUGUUAAAACCUUUAACUCUUCUUUGAAUAAAUUUGUUUUAUCAGUUUUGCUCCAGAAGAAAAUUAAAGCAAAAGAGAGAACCAAACUGAUAAGUAGUAUUUCUAAAUGUAAACCAGGAGCCUUUUUUUUUUUUUUUUUUUAAAGUGGGCAAUUCUUUUGAAUAUACUAUUUACCGUAGUAAAUGUUAGACUUUAAUAUAGAAUUUCAUUUACUGAGGUUAUAUAGAAAGAAUUUAUAAAACUUUUGGUAGAGCUAAAAAAUGGUCUGGGAACUUUUGGCGGGGGCACAUGAACUAAAUAGGUACCAAAACCUCUAUCUGUUGGUCUUAUUUACUUUUUAGGGUGAAUAGGGGUGGGUGUUAGGGAGAGGAUUGGACAAACACAAUGUAGGUUAUAUGAAUCACUGUACAAGUAAAACAAGUUUGAUAAACUACUGAAAUGCCUACCCCUCUUGGCUUUCUUAAAAUUACUGACCAGUAAAUAAUGCCUAACCAUAUUUAGGUAGUAUUAAAAAAAAUAGUCAACUGUAUAUUGCUGGAAGCAAACAUGGAAUUGCAGGCAGUUUAUCUCGUAAAACAGAGCCUUGGAAAUGGAGUGUUAUGUUAAUGACAGAUAACACUACCUAAGCGAAGGGCAGUUUAGUGACUUCUCAUUUACAUUUCAGAAGCUCUAGAAAUUAGGAAGAUUGAUUUUGCAUGCUAUUUUAGCUAGACUGUGUGCCAGUUAUAUAAACAUUAAUAGUUUUCUGAAAGCAUACCUUUAAAGUUUUUUAAGGGAGAUUUGUGGUAGCUUUUAUUUUUGUUAUCUAUCUUGAAUAUCUUGAUUAGAAUGCAAAUAGGCUUUUCUUUGAAAGGCUUGACCCUGGUUUAGAUUGCUGGUAUUUUCUGAAGUACAUCUACUGUACUUCACGAGUACUGAGAAUUUUAGCAGCUAUGUUCAUCUCUUUAUUUCACUUCCUAUUGCAUCUAAGUUUGUGGCUUGUGUAUUCCUGAAAAUAUAUUCUAAAUGCUUGGAGCAUAGUAUUAAAAAAUAUUGAAUGAAAGAGGAGUUGAAGUUUAGAGUAUUUUAGAACUCCGAGAAACUUAAAAAUCUCCAGUUCUUUAAUUCUUUCUUCCUGCUCCUCUCUCCGUUUCAUCAUUCUGGAAACUGAGAAUAAUAAGGCUUUUUUUCCCCCCUAGAAUUGGCUGAAUUAAAAUUGUCCUUAACUUUUAAAUGAUGUUAAUAAAAUAUAGUGGGUGAAUUUCUUCUAAUCCCUUUCCUUAAGAAGAACUGGGGUGCUUGGGUGGCUCAGUCAGUCGAGUGUCCGACUUUGGCUCAGGUCAUGAUCUCAUGGUUCGUGAGUUCAAUCCCUGCAUUUGUCUCUGUGCGGACAGCUCAGAGCCUGGAGCCUACUUCUGAUUCUGUGUGUCUCUCUCUCUCUGCCCUCCCCUGCUUGCUCUCUGUCUCUCUCAAAAAUAAAUAAACAUUAAAAAAAUUUUUUAGAAAGAAUUUUGGCACUUUACAUUGGACUAAAUAGUUGGGUGAUGAAAUACAGCAAUUUUUACUGAGUGCUACCUGUGACUUAGGCACCAAGGAAGCAAAGAUGACUAAAACCCUCUCUCUAGGAGCAUAUAGCCUGGUCAGUCCACUGAAGUGUAUGUAACUCAAGGUGUAUGCAGGACUAUCCAUAUGAGGUAGGGAUAAAAUAUUGAAACAUCUUUUUAAAGUUGUAUUUUGUGAAUUUUUUUUUUAAUUUUUAUUUAUUUUUGAGAGAGAGAGACAGAGCAUGAGCAGGGGAGGGGCAGAGAGAGAGGGAGACACAGAAUCUGAAGCAGGUUCCAGGCUCUGAGCUGUCAGCACAGAGCCCGAUGCGGAGCUGGAACUCACGAACCGUGAGAUCAUGACCGGAGCUGAACUUGGACACUUAAUUGACUGAGCCACCCAGGUGCCCUUAUUUUGUGUAUGUUUGAUAAUGGACAAUAUUUGCAAAAAGUAGUAUAUAUGUAUAUCAUUUAUAAAUAACUAACAUAUAGUAUGUUAAAUUCUACAGUGCUAUAGAACGAAGUGCUAUAGGAAUGUAGAGUGUGUGUUGGUGUAUUGGCCUGAAAGUGCCCUAACACUAUUCAUUUCAUUGUAUGUGCUCAAUAAUUGUGUAUUAAAGUGUUUUAUUUCCUCGUCACUUAAAGGUUAUUGUCUUUGCUAGUGAAAUAAUUAAGCAUGUAAUAGUUAAAGAUUCCAGUACUUUUCAUUUUGCUUAUUAUCUACCAGCCCUAAUAAGCUCUAAAACAUUGACUCACCAAUCAAGAUUUUAUUCAUCAAGUUUCGUAGUGUUAAUACUAAAAUCUCGUUGAUAUUAUACUGCCUAUGAUGUGAUGUUAGGUGGUUUAGCAUAAUAUAUCAUUGUAUCAGUGAAAAUUUAAUUUCACAGUUGGCAUCUUCUAGGAUGCACUGUUUUCUCUUAUUAAGGCACUUAAUUUGCCUUCAUCUGAAUUUAUUAAAUCUAUCAGUGGACUCUUCUUGCAUUACAGUGGAAUUGCAAGUUUUGGUUAAGCCAUUUGCAAGUAUACCUAACCAGCUGUUAUUAUACAUAAAGGAGAAAAAUGGGGCAGUUUUAAGUUAGUCUCUUUAUAUGUAGUCACCUAAAUAAUUACAUAGGUGCUGUUCUUCAUAGUCUCCAGUUCGACACUCCUUAUGGAGUGUCCAUGACAAAGAGGAGAUAAAUACACUAAUGAACCCUGGAUUUGGGGAGGAUGAGCAGAAUGAGGUGACAUCACUUGAUGGAUAAUGGCCUUCCAUUUACCAAACUGAACAGCUGUUGUUUUUUUUUUUUUUUUUUCUUUUCUUUUCUUUUUUUUUUUUUUUUGUUAAUUGUUUGUCUUGUGCCUGGUUAGUGAGACUUCACAGUGACAGCAUUCAGGGUCGCCUUCCAGAAAGAUGUGUAAGUAACCUAGGGUUAGUAAUGUGGUGACCAACCAAUCAUGAGUUGUUUUUUCAGGAGAAAAGGAAGAUUUUUGGUACUUGAUAAUAUGUAGGUCACAGGAAAAGUUAGAGAAAUGAUUAUUAUUCUUGCUAGGACUAUAGGAAAUCCAUCUUUGGAUUUGGAGUACUAAAGAUUAAGUCUGAGAGCUGGAUUAGAAGGUUUGAUGUUAAAUAGCCAGAGGUGAAGGUAUUUUAUUUAUGAAUUAAAAGUUGGUGGUUUUGGGGUGCCUGGGUGGCUCAGUUGGUUAAGCAUCUGACUCUUGAUCUCAGCCUAGGUCUUGAUCUCAGGGUUGUAAGUUCAAGUCCUGCAUUGGGCUCCAUACUGGGUGUGAAUCCUACUUAAAAAAAAAAAAAUGUUGGUGAUUUGAAUCUGGACAACAUGGAUAGACCUAGAGGGUAUUAUGCUAAAUGAAACAAGUCAGAUAGAGAAAAGCAAAUACCAUAUGAUUUCACUUAUAUGUGGAAUCUAAAAAACAAAUGAACAAACCAAUAGCAACAAAGAGAAACAGACUCAUAAAUAUAGAGAAAAAAGUUAGUGGUUGUCAGAGGGGAGGCGGGUGAGGGAAUGGGUAAACUAGGUGAAGGAGAUUAAGAGGUACAAACUCCAGUUAUAAUUAAGUCACAGGGAUGGAAAGUUCAGCAGAGGGAAUAUAGUCAAUAAUAUUGUAAUAACUUUGGCGACAGAUGCUAACUACACUAAUCAUGGUGAGCAUUUUGUAAUGUAUAUAAUUGUCAGAUCACCUAAAACUGAUAUAAUGUUGUAUGUCAGUUAUACUCCAAUUAGAAAAAAUGGGCAAUGGUUUGAUAAUGGUACUGAGAAGACUAAGAUGGGACUGAGAGUUCUUUUCAUACUGUAUCCAGAAAGUAUGGCUUCUCUGCUCAGGACUUGUUUAUGCUUCUGCUUUUACCUUUUAGGCUUCAUGAUGUAUGUAUUUAAAUUGAGCCACUGCAGGGGCACCUGGCUGGUUUAGUCUAAGGAGCAUGGGACUCUUGAUCUCCGGAUUGUGAGUUUGAGCCCCACAUUAGGUUUAGAUUACUUAAAUGAAUAAAUAACUUUAAACAAAAAAUCUGCUUUUUAAAAAAAUGAAUAUUUAAAUUGAGCCACUCCACCUCUUUCUUUAUGCGAAUAAAUUUUCUUGUUCCUCUUAUCUAGUAAUAAGGAUCUUUUGAAAAUAAAAGGUGGAUCAUUAAUUACUAACUGACACAAAAGCCUGAUGAAACUAGUAUUUUAGUAUUUACGUUAAAGUCAGAGACCUAUCUAUUAGAAGACCUAUCUAUUCAAAGAUGAAGGCCUUCUUUAACACCCUUCCUUAUUAGGGAUUUAAUGUUCAUUGACAUAAGUCUCUUUUUAGUUCAGGGAAAUCUCAAGUUAAUAACUAUUUUGUAGACAAGGGUCAGAAAAAUUGAUAUAUCAAGACCUUGCUGUAAUAUGGUUCUUGGAAUCCUUGAUGUUGCACAGCAUUAAAGGAAACUAUGCUAAAAUGAAGUUUUACAAAGAAAUUCUCCAGCUCCUCUUUCAUUUCCAUAAAGAAGUUAGGUUGUCUCAGCAUUGUAGCCCUCAGAGGAAAAGGCUUUUAAGGUUUGCUGUGAUUCUUGCCUUUUUUAAUGACUUGUGAAAGACUCUAAAGAGAUUGCAUUAUGAAAAGGACCCUUCUAUCAAAGUAGUCCUCCCCUAGUCUUUCUUCCAGGAUAAUAAUUAGUACUGCUAUUGCAAGAUAGUUGCUAAAGUGAAGAAUCUUGCAGACUUCCUCAGUUUUUCCUUUCUUUCACCAUCUGGCCUAUCUUCUUAUCCCCAGUUUGAGUUGGCCAUCUAACUUCAUUUAGUUUGGUAUCCAGUCUAGUCUGUUAACUUCUAUUCAUCUUCACUGCUGCUACUCUAGUCCUAGCUGCCAUCAUCUCUUUCUAAGAUACCAUGCAGUGGUUUUCUAGUUUCACGGCAGCAGCCAGUGUAAUCCUACAAUUCAAAUGAGAUUCUGUUGAUUCCUUUCCUCUCAGGCUGGAAAGGCUGCUUACAAAUUUUCACAGGUCUGGCUCAUUCUUCAUACCUGAAGUCCAAGCUCUGAUGGCCUUAGUAAGGCCUUCUCUUAUCUUAUAUGAAGUGGUUUUCCAUCAGUGUUGCACUAUUCUGUAAUGUUCAUUUGUAGCCUUUAUCAUAAUGUAUAAUUAACAUGUUUAUUGUCAGACAUGAUCAUGAAUCUCCGGUACCAGUAUAGGUGCAGUGCCAGGUGUAUUUUAAGUGUUCAGUAAAUAUUGGAUGGCGGUGAAUGUAUAAAUGAUGGGUAGAAGAUUUGGAGAACUUGAAUAAUGUUUGUAAGGUUGGAGGGUAAAUGAUCAGGUACUGAUAAGGACUCAGUAUACCAAACAAUGUAUUCAUCUCAAGAUUUCCUUAAAUCAGCUUUGAAAAAUGUGCUAAAGAUUUUGAAUGAUAGAUAAAAAUGUAACAGCCUUAAAUAUAAUAUAUAAUUUUAUCUGUUUAGUUCAGGUAUUUAAGUUGAUACCUCAUAAUGUAAAUUACUAAGUGGAUAUUAAGAGACUAGUGUGUCAUUAAGUAUUAUGUUUAUGAACACUGGAGAAUGUCUUUUUGUAAAAAUGUAAUAUUUAAUAAUUUUGCUCAUGAAAUGAUUUAUUUUUAGACAGUGAUCUUCAUGUACUUUUCAUCCAUGAUGACAAGCAUCAUCCUACUGCCAAAUCUAAGAGUUGGAAACUUACUUGUUUAAAAUGUACAGUGUUAAUUUGGAAGCUGAGAAUAAGAUUUACAUCAAUAUACAGAGUGUUCUCAUUGGUUUGAAAUAGUCCAGGUGAUUUAAAAGUAAAUUUUAGGGGCGCCUGGCUGACUCAGUUGGUAGAGCAUGCAACUCUUGAUCUCAGGCUCAUGAGUUUGAGCCCCACAUUGGGCAUAGAAUUCACUAAAAACAAAAUAAAUAAAUAAAUAAAUAAAUAAAUAAAUAAAUAAAAAAUGUAUGUAUAGCUUUUUAAAAUAUAUGUUUAUUUAUUUAUGAGAGAGAGAGACACAGUAUGAGCAGGGGGAGGGGCAGAGAGAAGGAGAGACACAGAAUCCGAAGGAGGCUCCAGGCUCCAAGCUGUCAGCCCAGAGCCUGAUGCGGGGCUCGAACCCAUAAACUGUGAGAUCAUGACUUGAGCAGAAGUCGGAUGCUUAACCGCCUAAGUCACCCAGGUGCCCCCUCCCCCCCUUUUUUUGGCUCCCAAGUUUCUUUUUCUCUUAAGUUCCAUAACUAAUGCUCCUCCUCCCUCCUUCUUUUCUAGUCUUUUAGUUUUAAUUUUUAUCACAGUGAUAUAUGUACAGAAUUUAGAAUCAAAUAGUUCUACAGGGUUACUUAUGAAAGCAGUAGUACUGUUACCCUGUCUCCCUUGGCAGUUUUCUUCUGCUUAUUAUCCAGUACUUUUAAUAUUUUAAAUCUAUUAAUUGGUCUUUACUUUUUAUCUCUAAGUAAUAUAUUUAUAUUGAUACUUUUUUUUUUUCAUUUAAGGAAUGUUUAUUUGGCAUCCCAGUAUUAAAGAUUAGGAUUUAGCUCUUUAUUUCACUGCUACCUGCCCUCCAGAUACACACAUGUACGCCCCCUGUAGUCCCAUUUCCUCAUCUUGGUAUAUGUAUAUUUUAAUUAUGGUUAGAUCAUUGUUCAGUAUUUACAUGAUUAGGUUUUUAUAAAUGCUUUUCACAGCUAAGCCAUUUAAUAUAGUAGGAUUACUUUUCCUGUAUACUUUCCUUCUAAAUAUUUCCUUUAAUAAUUAUCUUCUCUUUUAUUUGCUUGGGAUUCUAUUCACUAUAAUCCAACCCCCAAAAUCCCACCAAUAGUUAAAUCUAAUCCAUAAAUUAAUGUUCACUUGGCUCAUUAUAUUGGAAAAUUUUUUUGGAGCUUUUUGGCCUAUUCAGGUCUGUACCUAUUGCCUUUGUGCUUGAAGCAUAGCUGCCAUGCUGGGAUCUUCUUUACCAUUUAUUCUGAGAUUUCCUUCAGUGUUCUGUGUUGGAUCUCCUGUUGUAUGCCUUGUUUCCUCUUUCUUGAUUUACGCGUUAUUUUGAUGGAGCUUGUUCUCUGGUAGCUUCCUGAAGAAGGGUGCAAUGGGUAGUGAAGCUUUAAGACCUUCAUUCUUGACCUGGUGCUUUCUUGCUUUAAAAUAAUUCUUAUAUCUCUAUUCUUUUUUUCCACUCUUCAGUUUCUAAGAGGCUGUCUCUGUUUUAACCAAGUAAUUAUACUGAUACUGAAGUUCCUUUUUAGUAAUCCUUAAUCUCUGGUCAUGUGGGUCUUAAUUUAAGCCUUAGGGCAGAUUCAUUGCAUGGUCAGUUAGAAACUGGGGUAAGAGGAAGACAUUGCCCUAGAUUGCAGUUUUCAUGAUCACAUACCACUAGAUUGUAAACCUCCAUGAGGGUGGGGACAUGUCUGUUUUGUUCACUGCUAUUUCUAGCAAUUACAUGUUAUUUGUCCUAUGUUAGCUACUCAGUACGUGUUUGUUGAAUGGCUGAAUUGUAUAUCAAAGCAAUCUUUUCUAAAAACCAGAUUAAACUUUUAGAGAAAACUUUGUUCAGGAUAAAUGUGUGUGUGCUCAUGGGUGUAUGCCCUGAGGUUUAAAACUUGUAUUUUUAUAUCUGUGUACAUAUAUUUAAAUGCAUCUUUUGCCUUUAAAAAAUGUUACUUGUAUUAAUGUUUUAUUAUGUCAUUUCUGGCUCUGCUUUAAAGUUGGUUUUGGAAUCUGUUGGUGAGCAGCUGUGGUAGGAAGCUGUGGUGGGUUUAGAGCAGUUGUUUGAUUAAUAAAUUUGGUUUAGAGAUUCUUUAGUUUAUGCAAGCAUCCAUAAGUGAAAUAUUUCACUGUGUGGAGUUUUAUAGAUCAGAAGUUAAUUCUUUGUCAGAGAUGCUGAGGUAAGAAUACCUCUUUACAGCUAAUUAUGGAAGGACAAGAAAUUACUUAUUCUUUAUAGGCUUAGAGGCAUAGUAAGGAGUAAUUAUCUAAUGGUGGAAGCAUUUUAUAUUGUCACAUUACUGGUACAUAUAGAUAUAAAUUGAAGUUGACAGAAGAUUGCCAAAUAAAUUAUAUUUAAAUAAUGAAAGAAAUAGGAUAUCAACUGAAUGAGCACUUGGCAGUAAAUAACGUCAUAGAAAAAUGUUCUAUUUUGAGUGGAGUUUUUUUUUUUUUUGGAGCGUGUUUUUUAAUAUUAUUUCAGUAGAGUCCCAAACUAAAUGCAACUUAUUUUUCCACAGAUCGGCUUAUAUAUUGCAUGUAUGUGGUUUACUGCCUAUGAUCCCAAGCCAGAAACCUGGUUUAUCAGUUGAGACCUUUUUUUAAAUUUUCUCUGUUCAAAUUUAAUCCAUCACAGUGUCCCUUUGAUGAUAUCUUCUUACUAUCUUACGUUUCAUCUGCAUCUUUUUUUUAAAAAACUUUUUAAUGUUUAUUAUUGAGAGAGGGAGGCAGAGCAUGAGUAUGGGAGGGGCAUAGAGAGGGGGAGACACAAAAUCUGAAGCAGGUUCCAGGCUCUGAGCUGUCAGCACAGAGCCCAACGCAGGGCUGGAACUCACAAACCACGAGAUCAUGACCUGAGCCAAAGUCGGAUGCUUAACUGACUGAGCCACCCAGGUGCCCCCUUACUUCUGCAUCUUUAAAGUUACUGCCUUAGAAAAGGCCUUCUGUCCUCUGGACUAUUAUUAGUCUCCUAUCUCCUCAAUCCAUUCUUUAUAUUUCCACCAGAAUAAUCUUUCUGAAAUACACAACUGGUCAUUUUACUCAGAUGCUCAUCAGUGGGAAGUGCCCAACACCUAUGGUUUGAAGACAGUCUUUAGUCUGGCAAGCCCUUGUAGUUUCUGUGAUUUGGCUUCUGUGUGAACACUCUCUGCCUUUGAAAUGCUGCUUCCUAGAUCUUGGAAUGCCUUCCUUUAUUACUUACAUACACUAAAGUGCACAAAUUUUACUAUAUAGCUUAGUGAAAUUCUAGCUAUGUACCUAAGCAACCACCAUGCAAAACCAGGAUAGAGAGCAACAUUUCUAGCAUUGCAGUAGGCUCUCUCUUGCCCUCUCCCAGUUGAUACUGCCCCGCAGAGGUAACCACUAUUCUAAUUUCUGUCCCUAUACAUUAGCUUUACCUAUGUUUGAGUCUUGUAUAAAUGAAUCAUACAAUAUUCAUUUUGUAUGUGUGUGCAUGGUGAACUAAAUUUUUUAAAUGAGAUGCAAACCCAUUUUUUAAUUUUCAUGUAUAUAUUAAUACACCCAGAGCACUGUGUUCUUUUUUCUUUUUAAGUUUAUUUUUUUGAGAGAGAGAGAGAGUGCAUGAAAGAGAGAGAGGGGGAGAGAGAGAAUCCUAAGCAGGCUCUGCACCAUCAGCACAGAGCCUGACGCAGGGCUCAAACCCACGAACCACAAACUCGUGACCCAAGCAGAAGCUGGACACCCAAUCAACUGAGCCACCCAGGUGCCCUAUUUUUUUAAUUAAUUAAAAAUUAAAAAUUUUUUUUUUUUUUAGUUUUGAGAGAGAGUGUGCGAGCAGGGGUGGGUAGAGAGAGAGAGAGAACUCAGAGCAGGCUCCAGGCUCUGAGCUGUCAGCACUGAUGUGGGGCUCAAACCCACAAACCAAGAGAUCAUGACCUGAGUCAUGGAUGCUUAACUUACUGAGCCACCCAGGUGCCCAUAAUUAAUUAAUUUUUACUUUAGAGAGCACAUGAGCAGGGGUGAGGGGCAGGGGGACAGAGAGAGGUGGGGGAUUUUAAGCAGGCUCCAUGCUCAGCGCAGAGCCAAACGUGGGGCUUGCUCCCAUGACCCUGGGAGCAUGACCUCAGCCAAAAUCAAGUCUGAUGUGUAACCAGUUGAAUCACCUAGGUGCCCCAUGAACUCAUUUUUGAGACCAAAUUUUACCUUUUGCAACUACAUGGAUGGAACUGGAGGGUAUUAUGCUAAGUGAAAUUAGUCAGAGAAAGACAAAAAUCAUAUGACUUCACUCAUAUGCAGACUUCAAGAGACGAAACAGAUGAACAUAAGGGAAGGGAAACAAAAAUAAUAUAAAAACAGGGAAGGGGACAAAACAGAAGAGACUCAUAAAUAUGGAGAACAGACUGAGGAUUACUGGAGGGAUUGUGGGGGGGGGGAUGGACUAAAUGGGUAAGGGGCACUAAGGAAUCUACUCCUGAAAUCAUCGUUGCACUGUAUGCUAACUGAUUUGGAUAUAAAUUUGAAAAAAUAAAAAACCACCAAAUUUUAAACCUUUUCUUUAUGAAGUACAUUUCCGAAAAGAUUACCAGUAUCUUGAAAUUAGGGCUAGUGUAUUUUUUUUUAUUUCCAGAAGCUGGCAUAGUGUCUGGCGUUAAGUAUGUGCUUAUUGAUGAAUUGACACACAUCUUUCUCCCUGAACUGACAGCUUUACCAGAUCCUUAUCCAUUAAAACUAAGCCCAGGCAUCAAGUCCUCUCAGUAGUCUUCCCUCAUAUUGCUCCUACUUUUCCUCCUCCUCUCUGCUGUAACACACUUUGAUUGUAGUGGUUAUCCCUCUUCAUUACAGCUGCUAGUUUAAUUGGCUGUCUACUUUGAGUUCUGAAAUCCUUGAGAAUAACUCUAGAGCUUAGAAGGUAAUAAGGCAGGGCUUAUUAAAAUGUUGAUUGAAUGAAUGGGUGCCCUCUGAAUAAAGGAGAAAGCUGACAGAAUAAAACUAAUAGUCAAAAUUUGGUAAAUUGUAUUUUUAUGGGAUAAAUUAUAGUUUCAUGACAUUUAUACAAAUAUUCAAAUAUUCCAGAAAAAUAAACAUUUAAAAUUUGGGUUAAAAAGAAUAUCUGCUUGCCCUAAACUAAAAUUACCUGAAUUUAUGAAGCACUCAGUAGAAAAUACGAAGGAAAAGGAAACAUAAUCUUAUACGAAAAGACUUGUAGAUUUGUAAGUUGUGUUAUAAUUAGCAGCUAAAAACAGCAUUAAAAUUAAUGCUCACAUUUUGCAGGUGAACCUUGAUUGGUUCUGAGACACUCAAAUUUUUCAUAAAUAGAAAAUACUUAUUGGUGUGAAUAGAAAAAUAUGCUAAAGUUAGGUCAAAAUUCCAUGCAAUUUUUGGAACUUUAAAAAAAAAUUUUUUUUUAAUGUUUAUUUAUUUUUGAGAGAGACAAAGUGUGAACGGGGGAGAGGCAGAGAGAGAGGAGACAUGGAAUCUGAAGUAGGCUCCAGGCUCUGAGCUGUCAGCACAGAGCCCGAUGCGAGGCUUGAGCCCACGAACCGGGAUACCGUGACCUGAGCCGAAGUCGGAUGCUCAACCAACUAAGCCACCCAAGCGCCCCUGGAACUUUUUAAAUAUAAUUUAUAUAACAAUAUGUACUUCUACUUAAAAUUUUUAAUUUUUUCUCCACAAUAAGCAUUAUGUGGGCCAAUUGAUUUGCUCUCCAUUUUGUAUUUCUGUGAUUUCUCUUAUGUGGACUGAGUUUUUCUCUACCUUCAUCUAUUCUAAUAAUUUUAUAUUGUAUACAGUGUUGGACAGGCAAGAUGAGGCUAGAUUAUGAAGGGCUCAUUUUCAUUUGAUUCUCCUCAUCUUUCUGGACUUCUGGACUUUGCCUAGAUCUUAACUUUUCUCUGGAAUAUUCCUGGACUGUCCAGCACUUAUCUCCUUUGAAGUCCUAUGACUCUUAAUUUGUGUCCUUGGUAUUUGAAUAUUUUUACAUACCUAUGGCAUUGUGUUAUAUGUAUUAACUUAAUCUCCCCACUUUAAGUUUCUUGAGGAGGAAUUUUUUUUUUUUUUUUAACGUUUAUUUAUUUUUGAGACAGAGAGAGACAGAGCAUGAACGGGGGAGGGUCACGGAGAGAGGGAGACACAGAAUCUGAAACAGGCUCCAGGCUCUGAGCUGUCGGCACAGAGCCCGACGCGGGGCUCGAACUCACGGACCGCGAGAUCAUGACCUGAGCCGAAGUCGGAUGCUUAACCGACCAAGCCACCCAGGCGCCCCGGAAUUUUGUUUGUUUUAAAAACCACUUUGCAUUGUUUUCAGCACAAAUAGCUGUUCAGCAUAUGCUUGAUGAGGGAGAGAACCAGAUGGUUACUUGGUGUCUUUAUAUGAUUGUGAUGUGUUGCUUCUUAAAAUGAAGUUAUCUUAUUUAGUUUUUUUUUUUAAGAUCUUUUAACUUUCAUUUUCAUGUUUUCUUCUGAAUGUUUAAAUAACAUGUGGCUCUUAUCUCAAACUCCCAAUUUGCAGUUUAUAGGAAUGUGACUGAAAGUUAAAAUUAUAGGUCCAAGAGAACUGCAGUGCAUGGCAGGCAGUUUUAUAUAUGUUAGAAGAAGUUAUUAGAAGGUAGACAAUUGUGGGGUGCCUGGGUGGCUCGGUCGGUUGGGCGUCUGACUUCGGCUCAGGUCAUGAUCUCACGGUCCGUGAGUUCGAGCCCCGCGUCGGGCUCUGUGCUGACAGCUCAGAGCCUGGAGCCUGUUUCAGAUCCUGUGUCUCCCUCUCUGCCCCUCCCCUGUUCACGCACUGUCUCUCUCUGUCUCAAAAAUAAAUAAACGUUAAAAAAAAAAAAAAAAAAAGGUAGACAAUUGUAGGUUGCAAUGGAAUUUAGAAGACUUUUGCUCAUCUUAUGUGUUUGCCUCAGUUUGAAGAUUUGAGAAUGCUCCCAAGGUGUUUACUUCUUAUCGGUGUCUCUUGUGAUUCUGAUAUUAACAAAUACAUAAAUAUGCCUUUUCUCAUAUAUAUGAGAGAGAAAGCAAAAAUUGCACUAAAUUACAAUUUUUAAAACAUGUUUAUUUAUUUGUUUUGAGAGAGUGCAAGUGGGAAUGGGGCAGAAAGUAGGCUCUGCACUGUUAGUGCACAGCCUGACGCAGGGCUUGAUUCCACAAACCAUUAGAUCAUGACCUGAGCUGAAAUCAAGUCAGACACUCAACUGACUGAAGCACCCAGGUGCCUCACGAUUUCUGAUUGUAAUAGGAAUAUAGCCUUAUGAUCAGUAUUGUAUUUUCAACCAUAUGUUUUAGGAUUGUUGUAAGGGAAUUAUGAGAUAUUUCAUACGAAUUUUUGUCUGAUCUUCACAAGUUCAGUUAUGUACAUAGUUUUGAUUUUCUGGCUUUAGCAAUUUAUUACUGUGGUAAAUUAUACAUAAGAUGAAAUCUACUGCUUGGACAACUUUAUUAUUUUAUUUUAUUAUUUUUAAAGUUUAUUUAUUUAUUUUGAGAGAGCACAAGUGGGAGAGGAACAGAGAGAGAGGGAGAGAGAAUCCCGAGCAGACUCCGUACUAUCAGCGCAGAGCCUGAUGUGGGGCUCAAACCUGUGAACCCCAUCCUCUGAACCAUUUAAAAUUGUAUAAUUCAGGGGCGCCUGGGUGGCUCAGUUGGUUAAGCGUCUGACUUCGGCUCAGGUCAUGAUCUCACGGUCCAUGGGUUCGAGCCCCUCGUCAGGCUCUGUGCUGACAGCUCAGAGCCUGGAGCCUGUUUCGGAUUCUGUGUCUCCUUCUCUCUGUGACCCUCCCCCGUUCAUGCUCUGUCUCUCUCUGUCUCAAAAAUAAAUAAACGUUAAAAAAAAAUAAAAUAAAAUAAAAUUGUAUAAUUCAGUGGCAUUAAGUACAUUCAUAAUAUAGUAUAAUUGUCACCAAUAUUUGUUUCUAGAACGUGUUCAUUACCCCAAACAGAAACUUUAUAAUCCUUAAAUAACUCCCCAUUUUCUUCCCCCACCCUCUACCCUGGUAACCUCUCUUCUACUUUUUGUCUCUGAAUUUGCCCAUUUUAGGUACCUCAUAUGAGUGGAAUCAUGCAAUAUUUACCCUUUUGUGUCAUUUUUCGCUUAGCGUAACGUUUUUAAGAUUCAUCCAUGUUGUAGCAUGUAGCAGAAUUUCAUUCCUUCUUAUGGGUGAAUAAUGUGUGUACUCCAUUUUGUUUAUCCAUUCACCUAUUAAUAGACAUGUGGACAUUGGUGGACAAAGAUCUGAGUUCCUGCUUUCAGUUCUUUUUAUUUAAAAAAAAAUUUUUUUAAUGUGUAUUCAUUAUUUUUGAGAGAGAGAAAGCACGAGACAGAGGGCAAGCUGGGGAGGGGCAGAGAGAGAGGGAGACACAGGAUCCAAAGCAGGUUCCAGGCUCUGAGUUGUCAGCACAGAGCCCGAUGUGGGGCUUGAACUCACGAACUGAGAGAUCAUGACCUGACGUGAAGUCGGACACUUAACUGCCUGAGCCACCCAGGCGCCUUGCUUUCAUUUCUUUUGAAUGUCUACCUAGGAGUAAAAUUGCUGGGUCAUAUGGUAACUUGAUGUUUAAGUUUGAGGAACUACCAAACUAUUGUCCAGAGUGGCUGCGCUAUUUUACACUCCUGUCAUGUAUGAGAGUUAUGAUUUUUCCACAUCCUUGUCUGUACUUGUUGUUAUCUUUCUUAUUUUACCCAUCCUAUUGGUUGUGAAAUAGUGUCUCAUGUAGUUUUUUUUUUUUUUUUUUUUAAGUAGGCUCCACACCCAAUAUGGGGCUUGAACUCAUGACCCUGAGAUUAUGAGUUAGAUGCUCUUCUGACUGAGCCAGCCAGGGGCCCCUCAUUGUAGUUUUGUGUUUCCUUAAUGGCUAGUGAUGUUGAGCAUGUCUUCCUGUGCUUGGUUAUAUAAAAGUUAUGUUUAUACUAUGGUCUGUUAAGUGUGAAUUAGCAUUAUGUCUGAAAAAGCAAUUUACAUACCACAAUUAAAAACUAUUUAGGGGCACCUGGGUGGCUUAGUCGGUGAAGUGUCCAACUCUUGGUUUAGGCUCAGGUCAUGGUCUCACGGUUUUGUGAGUUUGAGCCCUGCAUCAGGCUCUGUGCUGACAGUGCAGAGCCUGCUUUGGGAUUCUCUCUCUCCCCCUCCCCUGCUCAUGCUGUUUCUGUCUCUCUCAAAAAUAAAAAAAUAAACUUAAAAAAAUAAAAAAAAAUGCUAACCGUCAUCCGAACUUUCAGCGAGUCAUAAUCUUUUUGCUGGUAGAGGGUCUUGCCUUGGUGUUGAUUGCUGACUGCUCAGGGUGGUGGUUGCUAAAAGUUGGGGUAGCUGUGGCAAUUUCUUAAAAUAAGACUACAGUGAAGUCUGCUGUAUUGAUUGAUUCUUCCUUUCAUAAACAGUUUUUCUGUAGCAUGAGAUUCUAUUUGAUAGCAUUUUGCUUGCAGUAGAACUUAUUUCAAAAUUGAAAGUCAGUGUUCUCAAACCCCACUGCUGCUUUGUCAACUUAGUUUAUAUUCUAUAUCCUUCGUUGUAAUUUCAGCAUCUUUUUUUUAUAGUUUAUAGGUUUUUAAAACAAUUUUUUUUUUAGUAAUCUCUACACCCAAUGUGGGGCUCGAACUCAUGACCCUGAAAUCAAAAGUUACGUGCUCUUUUGACUGAGCCAGCCAGACAUCCCUCAACCAUCUUUACAGCAUCUGUACCAGGAGUAGAUUCUGUCUCAAGAAACCACUUUCUUUACUCAUUCAUUAAAAUUAGGGGCCCCUGGUUGGCUCAGUUGGUUAAGUGUCUGACUUUGGCUCAGGUCAUGAUCUUGCUGUUUGUGAGUUUGAGCCCUGCAUUGGGCUCUGCACUGAUGGCUCAGAGCCUAGAGCCUGCUUCAGAUUCUGUGUCUUCCUCUCUUUCUCUGCCCCUCCCCUGCUUGUGUUUGCUCUCUCUUUCUCAAAAAUAAAUAAACUUAAAAAAAAUAAAUGAAAAUUAAUUCCUCACCCGUUAAACUUUUAUCGUGAGAUUGCAGCAAUUCAGUCAUAUCUUUAGGCGCCACUUCUAGUUCUCUAGGUUAUAGGCACCACAUCUGCAGGUUCUCCACUGAAGUCUUGAAACCCCAAAGUCAUCCAUGAGGGUUGGAAUCAACUUUUUCCAAACUCCUGUUAAUGUUCAUAUUUUGACCCCUUCCCAUGAGUCAGAAAUGUACUUAAUGGCAUCUAGAAUGAUGAAUCAUUUCCAGAAGGUUUUUAAUUUAUUUUGCCCAGAUCCAUCAGAGGAGUCACUAUGGCAGCUGUAGUCUUAGGAAAUGUAUUUUUUUUCCUUUUUAUUUUCUUUUUAAUUUAUUUUUUAAAAGUUUAUUUAUUUUGAGAGAACGGGUGCGUGUGCGUGUGUGAGUAGGGGCGGGGCAGAGAGAGGGAGAGAGAGAAUCCCAAGUAGGCUCCAUGCUUAGUGGGAGUCCAAUGCAGGGCUAGAUCUCACGACCUGACCUGAGAGGACAUCAAGAGUCAGGUGUCCCUGAAAUGUAUUUCUUAAAGAAAAAGAUUUGAAAGUUGAAAUUACUUCUUGGUCUGUGGGUUGCAGAAUAGAUGUUGUAUUAGCAGGCAUGAAAACAACAUUAAGUUCGUCCAUCUCCGUCAGCUUUCUUCGGUAACCACCAGGUUCAUUAUCAAUGAGCAGUUGUAUUUUGAAAGGAUUUUUUUUUUUUUUUUUCUGAGCAAUAGGUCUCAACAGUGGCCUUAAAAUAUUCAGUAAAUUAUAUAAACGGAUGUGCUGUCAUCCAGGCUUUGUUCCAUUUGUAGACCACAGGCAGUAGACAUAGUGUGGAUUCUUAAGGACCCUGGGACUUGCAGAAUGGUAAGUGAGCAUUGUCUUCAACUUAAAGUCCCCACCUGCAUUAGCCUCUAGCAAGAGAGGCAGCUGUGUUGUGAAGCUUUGAAGCCAGGCAUUGAUUUCUCUUUAGCUAGGAAAGUCCUAGAUGACCUCUUUUUCCAGUGUAAUGUUUCAUUUACGGUGAAAGUCUUAAUGUAGCCACCUUCAUUAAUUAUCUCGGCCAAUAUCUUCUGGAUAACUUGCUUCAGUUUCUACAUCAGCAUUUGCUGCUUCAUCUUACACUUUUAUGUUGUAGAGAUGGCUUCUUUCCUUAAACCUCACGAACCAACCUCUGCUAGCUUCGGUCUUUUUCAGCUUUCUUACCUCUCUCAGCCUUCAUAGAAUUAAAGAGAGUUAGAGCCUUAUGCUGGAUUAGAGUUUGGUUUCAGGGAAUGUUGUGGCUGGUUUGAUCAAUCUAGACAACUAAAACUUUUUAUCAGCAGCAAGACUUUCGCUUUCUUGUCAUUUGUGUGUUCACUGGAAUAGUGCUUUAAUUUUCUUCAAGAAUUUUUCUUGGGUGCCUGGGUGGCUCAGUAGAUUAAGCGUCUGAAUUUGGUUCAGGUCAUGAUCUCACUGUUUGUGAGUUCAAGCCCCACAUUGGGUUCUGUGCGUUGGCAACAGCACAGAACCCACUUCGGAUCCUCUGUUUCCCCCACCCCCCCACCCUCUGCCCUUCCCCUACUUGUGUGCGCUAUCUCAAAAAUAAAUAAAUAUUAAAGAAAAAACCCCUUUCUUUUGCAUUCACAAUUUAGCUAACUGGUGCAAGAGGCCUGGCUUUUGGCUUUGGCCUGUCUUAGGUUUCAGCGUGCUUUUGAAGGUUAAUCACUGAGCUUAGUUAUUUUUAGCUUUUAUUUAAAAAUUUUUUUUUAAUGUUUAUUAUUUAUUUUUGAGAGAGACACACACACAGAGUGUAAAUGGGGGAGGGGCAGAGAGAGGGAGACACAGAAUUGGAAGCAGGCUCCAGGCUCUGAGCUGUCAGCACAGAGACUGAUGUGGGGCUUGAACUCAUGGAGUGCCAGAUCAUGACCUAGGCCAAAUUAAGACGCUUAACCAACUGAGCUACCCAGGCGCCCCCAUUUUUAGCUUUUGAUUUAAAAUGAGAGAUGUGGGGCUCUUCCUUUCACCUGAACACUUGAGACCAUUGUAGGAUUAUUAAUUGAUCUAAUUUCAAUUUUGAGUCUCAGUAAGUAGGGAGGCCUGAGGAGAGGAAGAGUGACCAGGGAGGGAAUGCCCAGUUGGUGGAGCAGUCAGAACAUACACAGCAUUUAUCAGUUAAGUUUUCUGUCUUAUAUGGGCAUGGUUCGUGAUGCCCCAAAACAAUUACAAUAGUAACAUCAAAGAUCACUGAUCAUUGAGCACCAUAACAAAUAUAGUAAUAAUGAAAGAGUUGAAAUAAUGAGAGAAUUACCAAAUGUGAUAUAGAGACACGAAAUAAGCAAAUGCUAUUGAAAAAAAUGAUGCUGUUAGAGUUGCCACAAACCUUCAAUUUGUAAAAAACAAUAUCUGCAAAGUGCAGAAAAGUGAGGUACUGUAAAAUGAGGUAUGCUUGUAUGUGAUUUGCAAAUAUUUUCUCCCUUUCUGUGGGAUGUUUUUCAUGCUCUUGAUAGUAUCUUUUGUUACUCAGAAGUUUUUAAUUUUGAUGAUGUCAGGCAGUUUGGAAUUUAAAGUUUUAGAUUAUGCAGAGAUAAAGCCACAAAACCCUGAAAGAUUGACCUCAUAGUUGCAGAAAACCAUGGUAGAGAGAACCCUACUUCCUAUAAUGCAAAGACUCUGCCCCUCCAUAAAGAGAAUCCUUUAAAAAUAAUUUUCCAAAUAAUCCACACAUUUCAUGGAUAAAUUAAAAACGAACAAUACUCAUAAAAGCAGUGCUGUCAGGAGAGCCAACUUUAUUAUCGAAUCUUAGCCAGGGUGGAAAGUCAGGCUAUUCUUUGAGGAACAUGAAAAAAGUCAGCCUCUAUUCUGCAAACACAUACACAAAUGGUAGCAGGUAGUCUCUUCCUGAAGGAUGAGAAGUGCCUUGUGUCUUCAUGAAUUCUAAAAUUUAAUCUUUGUUAGCCGAAGUGCUGUGGUUGCCUAAGGCUUAUAUGUUCUAUAUGCUGCUGGAAUAGAGACUAUAUGAUUGCUACUUAGUGAUGCAGAUGACAUUUAUAUAUUUUAAGAUCUUUUAUUUUAGGUAGGCACUUUUAAUUUUUUAAUUUUUUUAAUUUUUUAAAUAUGAAAUUUAUUGUCAAAUUGGUUUCCAUACAACACCCAAUGCUCAUCCCAACAGGUGCCCUCCUCAAUGCCCAUCACCCACUUUCUCCCCCCCCCCCCCCCCGGCCCCCCACCAACCCUCAGUUUAUUUAUUUUUUUAAUGUUUUUAUUUAUUUUUGUGACAGAGAGAGACAGAGCAUGAGCAGGGGAGGGGCAGAGAGAGAGGGAGACACAGAAUCGGAAGCAGGCUCCAGGCUCUGAGCUGUCAGCACAGAGCCCGAUGCGGGGCUCGAACCCACAGACUGUGAGAUCAUGACCUGAGCCGAAGUCGGACGCUUAACCGACUGAGCCACCCAGGUGCCCCCAACCCUCAGUUUAUUCUCAGUUUUUAAGAAUCUCUUACGGUUUGCCUCCCUCCCUAACUUUUUUUCCCCUUCCCCUCCCCCAUGGGUUUCUGUUAAGUUUCUCAGGAUCCACAUAAGAGUGAAAACAUAUGGUAUCUGUCUUUCUCUGUAUGACGUAUCUCACUUAGCAUAACACUCUCCAGUUCCAUCCACGUUGCUACAAAAGGCCAUAUUUCAUUCUUUCUCAUUGCCAAGUAGUAUUCCAUUGUGUAUAUAAACCACAACUUAUUUAUCCAUUCAUCAGUUGAUGGACAUUUAGGCUCUUUCCAUAAUUUGGCUAUUGUUGAAAGUGCAAGAGGGUACAAGAGGCACUUUUUAAAAGAGAGCUCUGCCUGUGUAUUUUUAACUUAACGUCUGGGGAUAGGUUCUUAAAAGUUAAUAUAUCUUAAUGGGCAUAUAUAGAUUAAUAGGUGAGUUCAAGAGGGUGAUAAAUAUUGGCUGUAAGAGGUUUCUUUUUAACUAUGUAAUCCCUUAGAUGUAGUCUUUUGCAUAUCAAAAUUUUAUUAUAGCAUUGUUCUCUGUGCAUUUUUAAUAGAGAUUGUUAGCCAUUCAUCUAAUGAUUCUUCCAGAAGUUCUUCUCUUUUGGUAGUGGCAUUUUGUAGCUUCAUAUAUUAGCAGAAACUUUUAUUUUGGACUGGAAUCUGAUAUGCUGUGUCAGUCUGAAAUUUUUUUUCCAAAUUUGAAUAUUGGAUAACUGACUUUAAUUGAUUAUUAAUACUUAAAUGUUGUGUUAAACAUUAAUGCCAUUAUUGACAUAUUGUAACUUAGUGCAGUUAGAGUAUUCCAGGGAAGAAAUUAAAUUUUCUUCAUCUUUUAGAAGUUGUUACUUUUCAUAAAAUAAAAAAAAUCAGAAUAUUGGCAAAAAAUUAAUUGAUAGUGAAAGUGCAGUGCAUAUUCUGAUUUAUUGUUUUCUGUUCACGUAUGUUGGAAGAUAUGAAUUAUUGUCUUACUAUAUUAUUUUAGAGAUUAAAGAUUGUCAGAAAAAAAAUGGCACAUCAAAUUCAUAUUUACUUUUUUACUUGCUAUUGAUAUUUUUGUCCUGCUGUCAUUUUAUGCUUAGAAUUUACAUCUCAGCUCUGAUUGUCAUUUUCAGCUUACUUCUGCAUCGUUUUGUCACAUUGCCUCUACCAAAGUUGAUGGCAUAAAGGUAAUCAUAACUCUGGCUUUAUCCAUGAGAUGUACUCAGCUCUACUACUUGGAUUCAUGCAUACAUAUAUACAUACAUUUAUUUAUUUAUUUCUACUAUAUUUAAAAUAGGAAAAGAAGAAACAGUGUUAACCGAAGAGGUAAUUUAGUGUCUGUGUUUUUUGUAUACUUCAUGAGUUUGUAUAUAUGUUUAUGGUCCUAGAAUGCAAAUUCUUUCAUCUUAUGUAAUUUACAGUGCAUUAUAGAUAUUCCUUUAAAUGCCCAAUGAUAAUAUUUAUGUACUCCAGUGUAAUUUAAAAUGUUAGAAGUAGGGACUCUUGAUCUUGGGGUCGUGAGUUCAAGCCCCAUGUUGGGUGUAGAGCUUACUUUAAAAAAAUAAUAAAUGGGGGCACCUGGGUGGCUCAUUUGAUUAAGUGUCUGAUUCUUGAUUUCAGCUCAGGUCAAGAUCUCACAGUUCGUGAGAUAGAAUCCUGUGUUGAACUCUGUGCUGAUGCUCUCUCUCUCCCUCUCUGCCCCUCGCCUGCUCACACAUGCGUGCUUUUCCUCUCUUUCUCUCUCAAAAUAAAUAUAUAAACUUAAAAAAAUAAAAUAAAUAAAACAUAAAAUAUCAGAAUUAGUGUUUUAUUUCCUUGUGGAAAAACCUGUCAAGAGUAGUUUCACGCUUGCCUUGUUGCAUAACUUAAAAUGUGGAAUGGGCAUCUUUUCUAUGCUUUGGUGCAUUGUCAUUCCUUUCUAAGUUUGGGUUAGCUUCCAACAUUUUCUCUUUUGUGUUUUCAAUGUUGUGAAAGUAUGUUGUGAGCUCUCUAAAAGUUUUGUUGUUUUUUUUUUUUUUGACCAGUGUUGCUUCUUCUGGAACAUCUUGGUGUUUUGUCAUGGCUAUUUUUCCCAUUUACCUUUCACUAAGUUCCUCUGAAUGCAUAUCUAGUGUCCCUUGAAAGGUAGCAAUGUCAACAUUUCCAUGGUCAGCUAUUUCUUCUAAAUGUCCAUUUGUGUUUAAUUGGAAUUUAUCAUUAUCACUUCAUUUCUUUGCUACAUUUUUAUCUUUGUUGGCCAGUUCCCUCUUUUGAUUAUCCAUUUUCAUAAAAUAUCACUUGGAUUUAUCACACAACAAUUACACCUUCUCUCUAACAGCUACAUAGGGGCCAAUUAUAGACAGGCUUUGAAAGAAGUGACAUGAUUGGUCACUGAUUAUAAUGCGCAUCUUUUAUUUACAUCGGGAUUCAUGGACUGAAGAACCAGCCGUGAAGUUUGUAUUUUUUGAAAUUAUUUACAGUUAAUAUGAUGUGGUGACUGAAAUUUGAACUGUGUUUUUGAAGGGCUUGUGUUAUUUAACCAAACCUGUAGAAACUGAAAUUCAUGAAUAUGGUAACCAUGCAAAGCAAGGACUGCCUUUAUGUUAAGAAGAAUUAAUAUUACUGUCUCUAAUUAUUCAUAAAAUACUCGUUUUGGUGAGGAUUUGAUUUCAAGAAAGUAGGAAUGUGUUUGUGGUUUAUAGAGAAAAGGAUGUGAAGCUCAAGCUGACCUAUAUAAUAACCUCAGCUUUUUUCUUACACUUAUAAAAUUGUGUGAGCUUAUUGCUUUUAAUAUAGACAGUGUGUGAUGUACUUGUUUCUGUAGGGAGAUUUGUAGGAUUAGAGGUUUUAUUUGUUACUUACAUUAACAAAGAUACUCUCUUUUCACCGACAAGAUUUAGUGAUAAGACUAUUUUAUUUUAUUUUUUAUUUUUUGGUUUAGAGAGAGAGUGUGUGUGAGAGCACAAGCCAGGGAAAGGGGUAGAGGGAGAGAGAGAGAAUCUUAAGCAGGCUCCAUGCUCAGUGCAAAGUCCUAUGUGGGGCUUGAUCCCAAGACUCUGGGGUCAUGACCUGAGCCUAAAUUAAGAGUCAGAUGUUCAACCUACUGAGCCACCCAGGUGACCUCCCUAUGAUUUUCUUAAUGACAUUUUCUUCUCUAGCUUACUUUAUUGUAAGAAUACAGUAUAUAAUACAUAUACAAGAUAUGUGUUAAUUGACUUUAUGUUAUUGGUAAGGCUACCAGUCAACAGUAGGCUAUUAGUAGUUAAGUUUUUGGAGAGUCAAAGAAUUAUCCAUGGAUUUUCCACUGGAGGUGGGGUUAGUACCCCACCACCCAAGUUGUUUAAGGGUCAACUAUAUUGCAAAACAUUAAUAGAUUAUGUCUGUGCUGUGAAGUUGAAGGUGGCUUUUAUUGUCUCUUUGUGUAUCUUUGUUAUCUAAAAAAAAUUUUAAUUGGUAUUUUUAAAACUAUUUGUCUUAUCACCCCCCCCCCCCACCAAAAGCAUCACUUUUUAGUCCUGUUCAUGAAAGACUGUGUUUCUUUCCCAUUUAGAUGUAAUAACAAGUUCUAUUUCUUUUGGUAUUCCAAUGGGAUGAAAGUCUUAUUGUAAAAUUUUUGUGACUUUUUUUAAAGUUAAUUUUUUCAAGUUAAUAUGUAAAUGGUUUUUGUGUGUUGUAUAAUCAGUUUCAUGAAAAUAGAUUUGUGUUUUGUGAAGCUUUUAAUAGCUCUUUCUUUUUUUUUUAAGAUUUUGUUUUUUAGGUAAUUUCUCUACCCAACAUGGGGCUCGAACUUACAAAAGUCCCAUGCUCCACCCACUGAGCCAGCCAGAUGUCCUUUAAUAGCUCUUUAAUUUAUUCACUUUAAUUUAU